GUUGCCAAACUGGUCCUCUCCAGCAUAUUGGCUAAUCCCAACACCCUCUGCUUUUAAAAACCACGCAGAUUGCUUCAUCACCAUGAAAACAUGGUUUUAGAGUUGAUCUCUCACACCAGCUCCCCUCCCCCAACGUUCAACCUGGGAUGAUAAAGAGACAGAGAUUGAGUGUCAACUGGGUGCGUGGAAUGAAGCGAUGACAGCUGGAACCAGAGGAGAGCUCCUGAAUCAUGAUGUGAACUUGAGAACAGAGGCCCAGAAAGGUGACAGAUAGACAUAGCUGAAUCAAUGAAGGACAAUACUUGCCUAAAAUGUGCAACAUAAAUAUAGAAAUCCUAUGAACAGAAGAUUCAAAACCAGUACUGGAACAAAACCAGCUCUGAGCUCUGGUGAAUCUUCUGUGUAGAAGGCCACAUCUGAACGACCAACAAAGUCUUUCAGCUGCUUCCUUGUUCCAUAGCUGGCCAGACUACAGAUCUUGCUGGCUGGCGUUUUCAUUAUUCCUCCUUUGAAGAUCUCUUUAACCACACCUUUCUGGAACCGAGGGACAAGAAAUACUCUUUAAAAACCGUUGGAUUACCACGUU